rnacentral:rRNA from 1 species
UACGUAGGGUGCGAGCGUUGUCCGGAAUUAUUGGGCGUAAAGAGCUCGUAGGCGGUGUGUCGCGUCGGUCGUGAAAACUUGGGGCUUAACCCUGAGCUUGCGGUCGAUACGGGCAUCACUGGAGUUCGGCAGGGGAGACUGGAAUUCCUGGUGUAGCGGUGAAAUGCGCAGAUAUCAGGAGGAACACCGGUGGCGAAGGCGGGUCUCUGGGUAGUAACUGACGCUGAGGAACGAAAGCGUGGGUAGCGAACAGG